rnacentral:rRNA from 1 species
UACGUAGGGUGCAAGCGUUAAUCGGAAUUACUGGGCGUAAAGCGUGCGCAGGCGGCUAUGCAAGACAGAUGUGAAAUCCCCGGGCUCGACCUGGGAACUGCAUUUGUGACUGCAUGGCUAGAGUGCGGCAGAGGGGGAUGGAACUCCGCGUGUAGCAGUGAAAUGCGUAGAUAUGCGGAGGAACACCGAUGGCGAAGGCAAUCCCCUGGGCCUGCACUGACGCUCAUGCACGAAAGCGUGGGGAGCAAACAGG